UUUAAUGGGACUGAAACUACAACAGCAGAGACACACUGCAUGACUCAAAGGCCAAGAUAGAAAAGGCUAUACAGUUUCCACCUGGCCCUCACUCUUGGGGCCCAGACACUCUGCUGUGAGGAAGCUGAGCAGCUACAUGGAGAGGUCACAGUGCCACCACAGUCCUUGCUGAGGUUCCAGCAAACAGCCAACAUCAAUUGCCAGUCAGACAAGCAAGUGCAUGAGCCUUGCUGCAGCCACUCACCUUGGAGUUGACACCAGGUGGAGCAGAGAUCUGUCCUCACUCAGCCCUACUUGAAUUGCAAAUUUGUGAACAAACUGUUGCCAUUGUGUUAAGCCACUAUGUUUUGGAAUGGUCUUUUACAUAACAAUAGAUAACCACAAUAAUUGGUGGUCUCCUCUGACACUGGUCGUUUUUAGCACAGAGUAAACCUGGCUUGGAAAGAAAUGGGACCAACCUCCCUGAUUUUCAUGGAUUUUCAUAAUUUGGGUUGAUUCUUUAUUAACCUUAGUUUUUUCCCUCUUGGCCCCUUAUUAAGUUGCCCAUGGGAUAUAUUUCAGUUGACAUAGGUUGUAUAUGUACAUAACAUGGUGCUUUAUACAAACUUAAGUUGUGGCCAGUAUUUUGUAAUCAGAACAUUUCAGUUACACACAAAUCUAAAUUUCCAUCUUCUCUCAAAAAAACAAACAAACCUAAGAUCUGACAGUACUUGAUUUACUUUCCUGCAUAACAGUACUUCACUCACAAAAUCUCUUGUUUCUUCAAUCCCCUCUGCUCUCUGCUGCAUUAUAUACUGUCUGUUCCACUGAAACCCUUUCAUUCUUUUGCAUUUGGUGCCUGUUAGGCAGCUGGGUUUGUGACGUCUAUUUAGCCAACAACUGUCUACCUGGUUGGCUGGAAUUUAUUUUAUGUAGUUAUCUAGAACUUAACAUCUUAUUGAAAAGAAGAGUUUAAGAUCAUCAGAAACCAAAAGUCAGAAUACCAAAAGAAUAAAAAUAUCUAAAGGUUAAGAUUUUUAAAAUUAAAUAAGAAAAAAUGAAAUAAAAUAUAAGGAAAGGUGAGUGGGAUGUCAACUUAGGUUUUUAUCCAAUAGCCUGAUGCCAUCUCCUCCUAUCGAAGGCUGCUGCACAUACAUUGAUGCCUCAGAAAAGAGAAUGCUUUCUGUGUCACUGUUUCAUGCAAAGUUGUUCUGGGAGUAAAAUUACAAGAAAUCCAAAGUUUACUAAUGGCAUCACAUACACUAUGUUUAAAAAUCCUAUUUACCUUUUUGUAUAGUUGCUGAGGAUUCCCUUAUCACAUCACUGUAUGAAUAAUCACAGAUUAAUGGUUUCUAGGGAGAAGGUUCAAUUUCAAGUAUUGGAAGAUGGAAUCACACAGCUUGAAAGAUCCAUAGAACUGAUACACCUUUUUAUUUUUAGUGUUUGGUGUCUUCCAUAUUAUUAGAGACGUUUUUAAUAUAUUUCCCUUCUGCUCAACUGAUAAGCGUAAUUUUUAUUGUACUUUAUAUAUCCUAAAAUGAGUAGGAAAUGGGAUAAUAAAGGAUGCAGUUAACUUAGAAAAUAACUAUCCUUUAUAUAUGAAAAUAAGGACUUUAUUUUCUUAAGAAUAAAAAUGGAGGGGGAAAUUCUAUUUCUUGCUCAUUAACUAUAUUUGGAAAGCAUCCAUUUCUAAGAUUUAUCUCAUAGGGAUAUGUAGUCACUAAUUACUUUAAGAAAAGUGUUAUGUUUCAAAACCAAUCUAAAGAGCACUUAAUUAACCCUUCUUAAAGAACCACCACCCGCAGUGUGAAAACACCAUGUAAUUUGACAAAGUCUAAGUUUGUGGUGGGUCAAUUAUAGCAUGUUGAAACAGGAUUCUAUUCUUGGUCUUUCCCUUGAUAUCAAAUUGGAUGGGCUUUCUAGAAAUGCUACUCAUUUGGGGAAAACAAUAUCAAGUUAUCUUUUAAAGCAUGCCCUAUUUUAUGAUAGUACCAUGGUAAGAUUUUCCAUGCCCUCUUCAACAAAACAUGCAGGGAUAGUCAAGGGGCAUAUUACUCUCACUACCCUAAACCAUCAGACACACAAACAAAAGGACUUGACUCCCAUAGUUAUUUAAAUAAGGUAUUGUCUAUUUUGUAUCAGAGAGUUAUGUUUUCCAGCUAAUGAGGCCUGUGUCUGUGGUCAGAUACUUGGUUUACAAAUUUAAUGUCUGAUACGAAGCAUCAGGAGAAAAUUCAUACAUCAAUGACUUCAACUCAGUGCAACUUCAUUUUAUUGGCAUUGUAGGGUACUUAUUUUGGGGAGGAAAGGAUUAAUUUAUGAAAAAUAGACAAGAUGCUUUGGACGUUUUUGUUGCUGUUGUUUUCUUUAUUUCCAACCAAAGUUAAUAGGUCAUUGCUGGAAUUAGGGUUCAAAUUUGAUGGCAUCUCAGUCAGAACGGUGUGGAAAUCAAACUUAGAAAUCAGGGAUAAAAUUAUUGAUUAUGCAUUUGAAAUCCAUUGGGCACAAUGAUUUUAAUAUUAUCAAAGCCUCUGCACAAUGCCAGAACUAGGAGUUUUCAUCUGGAUCAACAGACAUGGAGCAAAGGACAGUAUUUGGGGAAGAACUUUGAUAAGGAACAGAGGAUAUUUACCACGAUAUUGUAUCAUAGUGGAAUAGCGUCCAAAUGUUAGUCAAGACAGAUAAACAAAAAUGUACAGAAAACCUGACCACCUAAAUCAUUCUAAUCUCACAGUUUUUUUUUCUUAUUCAUAAAGACAACCUAUGAAGAGACAGCGUCUAUACUCGGUUCUUUCAAGGCAAAUAAGCAACUGUCAAAUGAACUGUUGGCUAUUACAGUGAAAAGUUCGCCACUUAAUAGGGGAUUUUUGCCUGGGGACCCUAGGUUUUGCAGAUGUCUAAAAGCGUCUUCCUAAGCGGUCUCGGCAUAGCAAAGUUCCUAAAUGAUUCCUGUGGCCUUUUCAUUCAUCUCUCCGAUCUGUAGGUGACCGCAACCGCGUGCCUAAGGACUCCGUAAGACCCGUGAUUUGGGAUGUUCUGAGAUCCCCGACCCCAGACAGCAACGACAGCAAAGUGCUAAAGCUGACAGCCAGUCCCUCCAGUCCUGAGAGCCGUCCCGUUUGGUCCCCAAAGCGGAGUCCCGCUCCUUUCCCAUUUGGAAUGACGGAGGCUGCGUGGCAGUGUUCUCCCAAGGGUUGGGCAUAUUUGCCCCUAUCUGGAAGGCAGCCCGCGAGUGGAUCCGAGGGACUCAUGCAGCUGGGAGAGGCGAUGGAGCGCUCCAGGUUUAGCCGAUGACAGCAGGCCAGAUUCAGUUCGACCAGAUGAUAUGAACCCCUCGAUAGCGGAGCCCAUGAAAUGUUUUGUCCAGACCUCAUGAUGGCACUCUUAAAACUUCAAAGCCUGAAUGUAUGCUUAUUUUUCUCCAGUAGCCUCUCCAGAAGGUCAGAAACUGCUUCUACUUCCUUGUUGUAAUCCUGUUGCCUAGAACAUGGACUAGUAUGCAAUAGGUGCUUAAUAAAUGAAGGAAGAGUAAAGAGAUACAGUUCCAGAUUCCAGGAAGCAUCCUCUUAACAAAGUUGGACUGUGAGAGGAAAGCUUGGCCCCCAGAUAUAAAGGAAUGUUCUGCUCUGCAUUGAUAUUAAGGCAAAAAUUAAA